AACGCUAGCUACAGGCUUAACACAUGCAAGUCGAGGGGCAUCAGGAAGAAAGCUUGCUUUCUUUGCUGGCGACCGGCGCACGGGUGAGUAACACGUAUCCAACCUGCCCUUUACUCGGGGAUAGCCUUUCGAAAGAAAGAUUAAUACCCGAUAGCAUAAUGAUUCCGCAUGGUUUCAUUAUUAAAGGAUUCCGGUAAAGGAUGGGGAUGCGUUCCAUUAGGUUGUUGGUGAGGUAACGGCUCACCAAGCCUUCGAUGGAUAGGGGUUCUGAGAGGAAGGUCCCCCACAUUGGAACUGAGACACGGUCCAAACUCCUACGGGAGGCAGCAGUGAGGAAUAUUGGUCAAUGGGCGCUAGCCUGAACCAGCCAAGUAGCGUGAAGGAUGAAGGCUCUAUGGGUCGUAAACUUCUUUUAUAUAAGAAUAAAGUGCAGUAUGUAUACUGUUUUGUAUGUAUUAUAUGAAUAAGGAUCGGCUAACUCCGUGCCAGCAGCCGCGGUAAUACGGAGGAUCCGAGCGUUAUCCGGAUUUAUUGGGUUUAAAGGGAGCGUAGGUGGACUGGUAAGUCAGUUGUGAAAGUUUGCGGCUCAACCGUAAAAUUGCAGUUGAUACUGUCAGUCUUGAGUACAGUAGAGGUGGGCGGAAUUCGUGGUGUAGCGGUGAAAUGCUUAGAUAUCACGAAGAACUCCGAUUGCGAAGGCAGCUCACUGGACUGCAACUGACACUGAUGCUCGAAAGUGUGGGUAUCAAACAGGAUUAGAUACCCUGGUAGUCCACACAGUAAACGAUGAAUACUCGCUGUUUGCGAUAUACAGUAAGCGGCCAAGCGAAAGCAUUAAGUAUUCCACCUGGGGAGUACGCCGGCAACGGUGAAACUCAAAGGAAUUGACGGGGGCCCGCACAAGCGGAGGAACAUGUGGUUUAAUUCGAUGAUACGCGAGGAACCUUACCCGGGCUUAAAUUGCAGUGGAAUGAUGUGGAAACAUGUCAGUGAGCAAUCACCGCUGUGAAGGUGCUGCAUGGUUGUCGUCAGCUCGUGCCGUGAGGUGUCGGCUUAAGUGCCAUAACGAGCGCAACCCUUAUCUUCAGUUACUAACAGGUCAUGCUGAGGACUCUGGAGAGACUGCCGUCGUAAGAUGUGAGGAAGGUGGGGAUGACGUCAAAUCAGCACGGCCCUUACGUCCGGGGCUACACACGUGUUACAAUGGGGGGUACAGAAGGCAGCUAGCGGGUGACCGUACGCUAAUCCCAAAAUCCUCUCUCAGUUCGGAUCGAAGUCUGCAACCCGACUUCGUGAAGCUGGAUUCGCUAGUAAUCGCGCAUCAGCCACGGCGCGGUGAAUACGUUCCCGGGCCUUGUACACACCGCCCGUCAAGCCAUGGGAGCCGGGGGUACCUGAAGUACGUAACCGCAAGGAUCGUCCUAGGGUAAAACUGGUGACUGGGGCUAAG
rnacentral:rRNA from 1 species